UUGACAAAUGCACACAGACCAGACGUGCACAUGGACCAGCUGCUUGGGUUCAGAACUCCACUGACUCGACAGAUUUCCACUUAAGAACCCAUAUCUUGCUCCAUUAAGCAACAUGCCUUAUGCCCUUCCUGGAGUGGAUUUCUAACAAGACAGUAGUUGGGCCAGACUUGUACAUGCAGGUUCCCUGCUUAGGCUAUUAAAGCUCAGAGAAACUGAAAAGAUACUUAAUGUGGGGACCUCAGCUGCCUUGUUGUUAGAGCUAAGAGUCGACAGGAGAGAUGGAUCCCCUGGCAUAUCCGGGAAGAGCAUCCCAGGUAAAAGAAAGCUGAGAUGUUUGCAUAAUCAUUGGGCCCCAGGAGCAGGAUCUUCAAGAAGAACAGCAGCUGUCUCAGGACCUGUGAUAAAAUUGCAAGAAUUGGAUGCCUCACCUAUUUAAUGAGGGGGGAGGAGGGAGGGCAUCACCAGGCAGCUGACAAAUUAAUGCUGCAGCCUGUUUUGUUUUUGCUAGUAGCAGCAUGAUGUGGAGUCAGCUUCUACCAUCCCCCUCCCCCCAGGGCUAACCUGGGGGAUGCUGCUCAAAGCCUGGUUUGGGAUAACCUGGUCUCUAGAUCAAUGAGGGCCAACUGUUUAGCAAUUUUGCCACAGAUUAGCCCUGCACCUCCCCCCAGUGCCACUCUGAUCCUCUUCCCUUGACUGAUCUACUCUGCUUUCUGCUCCCUGCCCUGUGCUUCCUGCCCCAUCUGGUACUAUGCCAAUUGUCCCCUUCCCAAUCUGCCAUCAUUUUGGUUCCCACUCACAUCAGAUCUGGUGCCCACUCCAGCCAGCCCAGGACCCGUGCUCUGUGCAGUGCCCACCCCAGACCAGCUGGAGCGGGCAAAACAAGCAGUUCAUGUCCCAGGCCAACCAAGGCAGGAGAGGCAUGCAGUGCAGUCCUGGACCAGCCAGAGCAGGCCCUGGAUCUGGCAUGAGUGGGAUUGGAGGCAGGG